rnacentral:miRNA from 1 species
GAAUAUUAAAAAUGGAGGUA